rnacentral:rRNA from 2 species
AAAGCCUGAUCCAGCCAUGCCGCGUGUGUGAAGAAGGUCUUCGGAUUGUAAAGCACUUUAAGUUGGGAGGAAGGGCAGUAAGUUAAUACCUUGCUGUUUUGACGUUACCAACAGAAUAAGCACCGGCUAACUUCGUGCCAGCAGCCGCGGUAAUACGUAGGGGGCAAGCGUUAUCCGGAUUUACUGGGUGUAAAGGGAGCGUAGGUGGUUCGGCAAGUCAGAUGUGAAAGCCCGGGGCUCAACCCCGGGACUGCAUUUGAAACUGUCGGGCUAGAGUGCAGGAGAGGUAAGUGGAAUUCCUAGUGUAGCGGUGAAAUGCGUAGAUAUUAGGAGGAACACCAGUGGCGAAGGCGGCUUACUGGACUGUAACUGACACUGAGGCUCGAAAGCGUGGGGAGCAAACA